UGAGGAAUAUUGGGCAAUGGAGGCAACUCUGACCCAGCCAUGCCGCGUGCAGGAAGACGGCCCUAUGGGUUGUAAACUGCUUUUAUAAAGGAAGAAAAGUAGAUACGUGUAUCUAUCUGACGGUACUUUACGAAUAAGGACCGGCUAACUCCGUGCCAGCAGCCGCGGUAAUACGGAGGGUCCAAGCGUUAUCCGGAAUCAUUGGGUUUAAAGGGUCCGCAGGCGGGCUAAUAAGUCAGUGGUGAAAUCCUACAGCUUAACUGUAGAACUGCCAUUGAUACUGUUAGUCUUGAAUUCGGUCGAGGUAGGCGGAAUGUGUAGUGUAGCGGUGAAAUGCUUAGAUAUUACACAGAACACCGAUAGCGAAGGCAGCUUACUAGGCCUGAAUUGACGCUGAGGGACGAAAGCGUGGGGAGCGAACAGG
rnacentral:rRNA from 1 species